UGAAGACCAGAGAAGCAGAGAAAGCGAGCUUUCAGAAAGAAAUUACUGAAGCAGAUGUACAAGGAGAAGUGAAGAUGGAAAUCCUGAUAGACUUCAGCUUCCUGUUCCAGUCCCUACCUGAGACCUGGGGUUGAGUUUCAUGAGAUACACUUUCAUGCACAGUCCUUAAUUCUAGAUGUACAUAACAGACCAAACCUGAUGGAGUAAGAGAAAAGUAGGUCAUCAGAUGCGUAUGAGCUUUGGGAAACACCACAAUUAAGGGAUGAUGUUCUGACUUAUCAGCCCAGCACAUCUGGCCUUUCUCCACCUGGCCCAUCUCACCAGGCUCAUCUCCUGCCACCCUUCAUUUUAACUUGAUCUUUUAGCCAAUCUGUACUGCUAUGGUUCCCCUACAAAAUCAGGUUAUUGAUGAGAACAAAAUUAAACUGCUUAUCAACUUUGACUUUUGCCACAACUCAAGAAGAUGGAAGAUCAUAAUCACUAGAAAAACAUCCCUAUUUGUGGGCCUGAAAUGUAGGCAAGAAAACCUGUUUUUUCGUACCCACAAGGCAUCACAAUCCAACUAAUAAAAACUGC